GAUGAACGCUGGCGGCGUGCCUAAUACAUGCAAGUCGAGCGAACAGACGAGGAGCUUGCUCCUCUGACGUUAGCGGCGGACGGGUGAGUAACACGUGGAUAACCUACCUAUAAGACUGGGAUAACUUCGGGAAACCGGAGCUAAUACCGGAUAAUAUAUUGAACCGCAUGGUUCAAUAGUGAAAGACGGUUUUGCUGUCACUUAUAGAUGGAUCCGCGCCGCAUUAGCUAGUUGGUAAGGUAACGGCUUACCAAGGCAACGAUGCGUAGCCGACCUGAGAGGGUGAUCGGCCGCACUGGAACUGAGACACGGUCCAGACUCCUACGGGAGGCAGCAGUAGGGAAUGUUCCGCAAUGGGCGAAAGCCUGACGGAGCAACGCCGCGUGAGUGAUGAAGGUCUUCGGAUCGUAAAACUCUGUUAUUAGGGAAGAACAAAUGUGUAAGUAACUAUGCACGUCUUGACGGUACCUAAUCAGAAAGCCACGGCUAACUACGUG
rnacentral:rRNA from 1 species